CUUAGGCAAUAGAAGAACCAUAGCUAAUGCAUAGAUUAAAUUUUAAAUUCAUCAAUACUUACUCAAGAGAGAAUAAAUAGAUCAUGAUUGGAAAUGGUAUAUGUUUUGAUUCAUGGAACUUCUUGUAGUAACAACAUAUAUUUUUAAACCCAUCAGAAAAGUUACUUUUGAAGCCAAUCCAUUGGGUAAUUUUCAAAAUCAUAAAAGGAACAUUUUUUUAUAGGUAAAUAUUAAUAGUUAGUAAUUAGUUGUUAGUAUAUUACAAAUGCUCCAUCUUCCAAAUUUGAACCUAAAAUCUUCAACUCCUUCUACCCAUAUCUCAAACCAAUUAAGCUAUCUGAUCCCUCAUAAAUUAAACAUUUUAUUUAUAUAUUUACUUGGAUAAGUAUCUGUUUUUAGGUUAUGCGUAAUAUUUGAAAGGUUACAUUGUGAAAUUAAUACACAUAAAUACAAGAAGUUUUACACCCCAAUUUUUAUAAUGCUUUGUUUGUGCUUGAUACUUGAUGUCUAUUAUGUAUGCCAUGAAUUUGAGUUAAUGGAUUGAGUGUAAGGUAUUUUAGACGAGUUUUGGAAUCUAUUUCAAAAGAGAAAACCCCCAUUUUUCACAAACCUGAAUAUCUUGCAUUCUGAGCUAGGUAAUUUGAAAUCAAGUAUUUUUGUCUAAUUUUGUAAUGCAAGGGAAUUUACUCUCAUUGUGAUGUACUUAGAAAAUCAUUUUCAAAGGCUCACAUUGCCUUGUGACCUGAGUAAAUCAUAAUGAGAUGACG
rnacentral:lncRNA from 1 species